UAAUAUAUCGGAACGUGCCCAGUCGUGGGGGAUAACGCAGCGAAAGCUGUGCUAAUACCGCAUACGAUCUAUGGAUGAAAGCGGGGGACCGUAAGGCCUCGCGCGAUUGGAGCGGCCGAUAUCAGAUUAGCUUGUUGGUGGGUAAAAGCCCACCAAGGCGACGAUCUGUAGCUGGUCUGAGAGGACGACCAGCCACACUGGAACUGAGACACGGUCCAGACUCCUACGGGAGGCAGCAGUGGGGAAUUUUGGACAAUGGGCGCAAGCCUGAUCCAGCAAUGCCGCGUGCAGGAUGAAGGCCUUCGGGUUGUAAACUGCUUUUGUACGGAACGAAACGGCUCUUUCUAAUAAAGAGGGCUAAUGACGGUACCGUAAGAAUAAGCACCGGCUAACUACGUGCCAGCAGCCGCGGUAAUACGUAGGGUGCGAGCGUUAAUCGGAAUUACUGGGCGUAAAGCGUGCGCAGGCGGUUAUAUAAGACAGAUGUGAAAUCCCCGGGCUCAACCUGGGACCUGCAUUUGUGACUGUAUAGCUAGAGUACGGUAGAGGGGGAUGGAAUUCCGCGUGUAGCAGUGAAAUGCGUAGAUAUGCGGAGGAACACCGAUGGCGAAGGCAAUCCCCUGGACCUGUACUGACGCUCAUGCACGAAAGCGUGGGGAGCAAACAGGAUUAGAUACCCUGGUAGUCCACCCCCUAAACGAUGUCAACUGGUUGUUGGGUCUUCACUGACUCAGUAACGAA
rnacentral:rRNA from 1 species